UUUUGGACAAUGGGCGAAAGCCUGAUCCAGCAAUGCCGCGUGUGGGAAGAAGGCCUUCGGGUUGUAAACCACUUUUGUACGGAACGAAACGGUCUGCUUUAAUACAGUGGGCUAAUGACGGUACCGUAAGAAUAAGCACCGGCUAACUACGUGCCAGCAGCCGCGGUAAUACGUAGGGUGCGAGCGUUAAUCGGAAUUACUGGGCGUAAAGCGUGCGCAGGCGGUUAUAUAAGACAGUUGUGAAAUCCCCGGGCUCAACCUGGGAAUUGCAUCUGUGACUGUAUAGCUAGAGUACGGUAGAGGGGGAUGGAAUUCCGCGUGUAGCAGUGAAAUGCGUAGAUAUGCGGAGGAACACCGAUGGCGAAGGCAAUCCCCGGACCUUACUGACGCUCAUCACAAA
rnacentral:rRNA from 1 species